UCCAGACUCCUACGGGAGGCAGCAGUGAGGAAUAUUGGUCAAUGGGCGGGAGCCUGAACCAGCCAAGCCGCGUGAGGGAAGAAGGUACAGCGUAUCGUAAACCUCUUUUGUCAGGGAACAAAGGCGGGGACUAGUCCCCGGAUGAGGGUACCUGAAGAAAAAGCAUCGGCUAACUCCGUGCCAGCAGCCGCGGUAAUACGGAGGAUGCGAGCGUUAUCCGGAUUUAUUGGGUUUAAAGGGUGCGUAGGCGGAAUAUCAAGUCAGCGGUAAAAAUUCGGGGCUCAACCCCGUCGUGCCGUUGAAACUGCAUCCCUUGAGUGCGCGAGAAGUAUGCGGAAUGCGUGGUGUAGCGGUGAAAUGCAUAGAUAUCACGCAGAACCCCGAUUGCGAAGGCAGCAUACCGGUGCACAACUGACGCUCAGGCACGAAAGCGUGGGUAUCGAACAGGAUUAGAUACCCCCGUACA
rnacentral:rRNA from 1 species